AUGGCUCCACUCACCUGGAAGUACAUGAAAGCUGGAAGUCCAAGCUGGAGAUCUUGAAGUCUGAACAUGAUGCGCUUUCAAUACACUGAUAUUUUGUGCUGAUUCCGUUCCUGAUCCAAAGUGUGUAGCGCAACCUGGGGAUAAAUCAGCAUGCUUGUCAAUUACAUUUGUAAAAACUGGAAAACUGGUUACAGCACUUCAAAGCUUCCUCUGUGCAUGUCCUGA